rnacentral:snRNA from 1 species
GGAUGUGAGGUCAAUCUGGCUGUGAUAUCAGUUGCCCCAUUGAUCACCAGGGUUGAUUUCCUGGUCUGCUGGCUAAGUAGGUGACCACUUUCUCCCUCAUGGCUGCAUGUACAUCCCUCCCAAAGCUGGCGCUCAGUCAAAAAGAACAAUUUCUCUGAUACAGAAAGGAUUGUUCUUUGGUCCAGGGUUUACGAGUAGCUCUGCUCCUCUGCUAGAGCCUCCAAACAGUCUCAGAAAGUACUUUUAAAAACACUACAUUUAUUUACCUUGGAUUGGGAACUUUCCAUAUAUCAUCUCAU